rnacentral:rRNA from 1 species
GUACUUUCAGUCGUGAGGAAGGCGGCGUCGUUAAUAGCGGCGUUGUUUGACGUUAGCGACAGAAGAAAGCACCGGCUAACUCCGUGCCAGCAGCCGCGGUAAUACGGAGGGUGCGAGCGUUAAUCGGAAUUACUGGGCGUAAAGCGCAUGCAGGUGGUUUGUUAAGUCAGAUGUGAAAGACCCGGGGCGUCAACCUCGGAAUUGCAUUUGUAAACUAGGCAGACUAGAGUACUGUAGAGGGGGGUAGGAAUUUCAGGUGUAGCGGUGAAAUAGCGUAGAGAUCUGAAGGAAUACCGGUGGCGAAGGCGGCCCCCUCGGACAGAUACUGACACUCAGAUGCGAAAGCGUGGGGAGCAAACAGGAUUAGAUACCCUGGUAG